UCCCGACGGUCCGAGUCGCAACCACAAUUAUUGGGUCUAAAACAUUCGUAGCUUGUCUGUUAAGUUUUUUGUGAAAUUCUAAAUCUUAAAUUUAGAGCGUGCAAGAAAUACUGGCAGGCUGGAGACCGGAAGAAGCAAUCAGUACAGUCGAGGUAGUAGUAAAAUACGUUAAUCUCGAUUGGACUAACAACAGCGAAGGCAGAUUGCUAGUACGGAUCUGACAGUGAGGAAUGAAGGCUAGGGGCGCGAAACG
rnacentral:rRNA from 1 species